UCGUGCUAAAUGGGGAGCUAGCGGUGCCCUGAACCCGAAAUCCGCUUAUGCGGGAUUGAAUGCUCUGAUGAGUCUUUCUAUCCAGGGGCAACAGGAAAAUACUUAGAAUGUUGAGGUCCGGGUCUUAUGAAGGCACCGUCUACAAACCCCGCCAGGUCCGGAAGGAAGCAACGGUAAGUAGAAAAGGGCUGGUCAUAAGGGUGCCUGGGCGGAGUUCUAAUUUUUUUCUGUUCCUGGGUAGAAUGGCGAACAGAGUGCACGA
rnacentral:SRP_RNA from 1 species